UACGAGGGGGGCAAAUGUUGUUCGGAAUCACUGGGCGUAAAGGGAGCGUAGGCGGGUUCUUAAGUAAGGUGUUUAAUCCCGGGGCCCAACCUCGGACCGGCACUUUAAACUGGGAAUCUUGAAUAGUGGAGAGGUCGGUGGAAUUGGGGGUGUAGCGGUGGAAUGCGUAGAGAUCCCCAAGAACACCAGUUGCGAAGGCGGCCGACUGGACACAUAUUGACGCUGAGGCUCGAAAGCAUGGGGAGCAAACAGG
rnacentral:rRNA from 1 species